UACUAUGAUCCACGCUGUGGCCAGGGUUACAUUGCCUACAGAUUGAAAACUGUUCAGCGCAACUCUGUAAAGAUCUUGAAGGGGGCAUCCAAGGUGGUUUACCAAGAUUGUCCAAAGACUUUACGCAAGACAUCUUCAGCAACUGAGCAGCUGUCAGGUGACGAAUGCACAGAAGCUAUAUCCAUGAUGAAGCAUUCAACAGACGCACCAGUUAUUAAGGAUAAAAUGAGGACAACAUUCAAGUACAGACAGAAUUUGAUACAUGAUCCAGACAAAUCUUCACUCAUCCUUGAUUACUUUCCCCGAUUUUUGGAUACACCAGGCUUGGUAAGAAAUAUUAAAAUGUUGAUGUUAAUUGUAAAUGUAAUUUUAAUGUUCGUUAUUUACAUGAUUUAUUUGUGUGAUAGAUUGACCAAGACUUUCCUGUGCUUUUUGGAGAUGACUUCAAGCAAAUUUAUUGCAAAAUGGCCAAUAUUCUACAAGCAAAGAAUAAUUGCUGACUGCAAUAACCUGCACCCUGGUGCCAUGGGCGUAGGCACAAUAAUCCCCCCACCCCCGGAAUUAUUUUGUUGUGGGGACGAGUAUCAUUCAGAAGUUUUACAUCAUCCUGGACCAGAAGGCCAUUCCCUGCAUGACUCAGACAGCUGUUGCAGCCUUUGAUGAACUCUUCAAGGCGCACUUUGUCUUUGAACUUCUACACGUUCAUUCAAACAACAUUGAUGUGGGCACUGCCAAGGAAAGUCCAAGGGUCAAGGAAAUCCGAGUGAGAAUUGAAAACACUGUGGUUUGACUCCCCCCAGCGUCCUGCUCAAAUGUUCUCAUGCUUCCUUUGCAUGUUACA